rnacentral:rRNA from 1 species
UACGGAGGGGGCGAGCGUUAUUCGGAAUUAUUGGGCGUAAAGGGCGCGUAGGCGGCGCGGUAAGUCAAAGGUGAAAUCCCUCGGCUCAACUGAGGAACUGCCUUUGAUACUGCCGUGCUCGAGGCCGGGAGGGGGUAGCGGAAUUCCCAGUGUAGCGGUGAAAUGCGUAGAUAUUGGGAGGAACACCAGUGGCGAAGGCGGCUACCUGGACCGGUUCUGACGCUGAUGCGCGAAAGCGUGGGGGGCAAACAGG